CAUUCACCUUGUUGCCUUUUCCUCAAUAACCUGUGUAAUUUCACACUUUUGACUUUAAAAGAAAGCAACAUGCUGGGGUAUAAGGGAAAUAUUUGAUAUUUGGUGGUUUAUUUAUUCAUGUAAGUUGUAUUUUGUAAGGUUUGAGUUGAAAAACUUUGGAUUUUUUUCCCUAAACACCAUCCUAACGCAUUUGGACAAUAGUUCUGGAGUGACUCUUGGGGAUGGUGCAGGGCAGGGCAAGAGUUGGGCUCUGAUCCCUGUGGGUCCCUUCCAGCUCAGCAGAUUCUGAGUGCAUAUUAAAGCCUUGAUGUUUGUAACAAAAGAAUUAUAUUUGAAGCCACAGAGUAACUGGUUUUUGACUCUUUGCUGUAGGAGCUGGACUGGGUGAUCCUGAUGAACCCCUUCCAAUCACUGCAUCCUGUAAUUCUGUGACAUGGACUGAGGCAGCCUGUGGGGCAGGAUGGACAGCAGGACAGCAGGGACAGGCAAUGCUCACUCAUUUCUGACCCCCACCAACCUAGGGUAGAAGAACCAGGACCUCCAGUGUUUUUAAACAGGAAAUUGUGUGUGCCCCAUUGCUGUGUACAUUUACUGUGAUGGUGGAACUUGUGAGCUCUGGGAUCACAGGGAUACAGCCAGACUGUGUGGAAUUAGACAUAAAUUUGUUCUCACACCAGUUGUGAGCAGGUAGCUGAAAACCUGUUGAAGGUAAUAAUAAACUUUCUCACUGGUGAACAUCAGAGAAAUCCCAGGAGUUCCUGAAUUUGUCACAGAAACCAUUCUCUGCCCCAGAGGAGAAGACUCCCAUGGCCUGGAGGAGGAUGCCCUGGAGAGCUUCAUGGUGGUCAUGGAGGGCAGUGAGAGAUCCCCAGCUGCACAGGGCUGUUCUUGCCUUCCCAUGAAAUUCCACUCUUCCCCUGGUUUAGGUACAGGAAGGAAAGAAUCCAUCUGUGGCAUUUCCCUGUGCAAGAUGCCAAAUGUUCAGUUGGAAAGGAGGUUUCUUCCCCCAGUCAGAACUGUCUCCUCUGUACCUCAAGAACUUCCUGUAGGAAAUUUUUAGACUGCUGGUGGAGCCCCAUGGAAUGAGUCAGCUCUGUGCUGCUUUCAGUCCUGUGAAUGAAAGGAGUCUGGAGGCAUAAUUUCCUUAUUACUGCAGCAUGGGUUUGAGAAAAUUGUAGAAUUCACUGCUUUCUCAUAGAUAUGUCUGUCUAAUUGACAGAAAGAAAACACCAAAGCCUCGUGUGAAUCA
rnacentral:lncRNA from 1 species